AGAGUUUGAUCAUGGCUCAGAUUGAACGCUGGCGGCAGGCUUAACACAUGCAAGUCGAGCGGAAACGAUGAUAGCUUGCUAUCAGGCGUCGAGCGGCGGACGGGUGAGUAAUACUUAGGAAUCUACCUAGUAGUGGGGGAUAGCUCGGGGAAACUCGAAUUAAUACCGCAUACGACCUACGGGAGAAAGGGGGCAACUUGUUGCUCUCGCUAUUAGAUGAGCCUAAGUCGGAUUAGCUAGAUGGUGGGGUAAAGGCCUACCAUGGCGACGAUCUGUAGCUGGUCUGAGAGGAUGAUCAGCCACACCGGGACUGAGACACGGCCCGGACUCCUACGGGAGGCAGCAGUGGGGAAUAUUGGACAAUGGGGGCAACCCUGAUCCAGCCAUGCCGCGUGUGUGAAGAAGGCCUUUUGGUUGUAAAGCACUUUAAGCAGUGAAGAAGACUCCAUGGUUAAUACCCAUGGACGAUGACAUUAGCUGCAGAAUAAGCACCGGCUAACUCUGUGCCAGCAGCCGCGGUAAUACAGAGGGUGCAAGCGUUAAUCGGAAUUACUGGGCGUAAAGCGAGCGUAGGUGGCUUGAUAAGUCAGAUGUGAAAUCCCCGGGCUUAACCUGGGAACUGCAUCUGAUACUGUUAGGCUAGAAUAGGUGAGAGGAAGGUAGAAUUCCAGGUGUAGCGGUGAAAUGCGUAGAGAUCUGGAGGAAUACCGAUGGCGAAGGCGGCCUUCUGGCAUCAUAUUGACACUGAGGUUCGAAAGCGUGGGUAGCAAACAGGAUUAGAUACCCUGGUAGUCCACGCCGUAAACGAUGUCUACUAGUCGUUGGGUCCCUUGAGGACUUAGUGACGCAGCUAACGCAAUAAGUAGACCGCCUGGGGAGUACGGCCGCAAGGUUAAAACUCAAAUGAAUUGACGG
rnacentral:rRNA from 1 species